GAAGGUAUAGUUCAGUGAUAGAGUGCACGCUUAGCAUGCAUGAGGUCAUGGGUUCAAUCCCUAGUACCUCCG
rnacentral:tRNA from 1 species